rnacentral:rRNA from 1 species
UGGGGAAUUUUGGACAAUGGGCGCAAGCCUGAUCCAGCCAUGCCGCGUGAGUGAUGAAGGCCCUAGGGUUGUAAAGCUCUUUCACCGGUGAAGAUAAUGACGGUAACCGGAGAAGAAGCCCCGGCUGACUUCGUGCCAGCAGCCGCGGUAAUACGAAGGGGGCUAGCGUUGUUCGGAUUUACUGGGCGUAAAGCGCACGUAGGCGGACUAUUAAGUCAGGGGUGAAAUCCCGGGGCUCAACCCCGGAGCUGCCUUUGAUACUGGUAGUCUUGAGUGCGAGAGAGGUGAGUGGAAUUCCGAGUGUAGAGGUGAAAUUCGUAGAUAUUCGGAGGAAAACCAGUGGCGAAGGCGGCUCACUGGCUCGAUACUGACGCUGGGGUGCGAAAGCGUGGGGAGCAAACAGG